CAGAAUGAGAAUUGGAAAUGGAUGAAAAUGAUAUAGAAUUGAUGGAUUACUUCAGGAGGGAUAGUACAAGCACCAACAGAGAAUGUGGUGGAUUCUCAGUGAGAUUGUAGAAGGAUUAGUUCACGUUCAUUCAUAGGGUAUUAUGAUUCAAGUAAACCUUUUUGGACAUUUUUGGGUUUGCUUGAAAACUGCCACUCAAGGCUUCCACUUGAAAAUAUGAAGAUCAUAAGAAAAAACAAGCAUUAAAGUGACGAAGAAUUUAUAGCUACUGUUUUUUAAUGUCAUAUACUUUGUAUAGAUGUCUAUAUCCGGAGAACGGUAACCAAUGCUCGGCACAGCAGCUUCUUGGACAUCGUUUUAUCUCUCCAAAUCCCAUGUCGUACGGUUUAGCAAAUAACAUCACUUCAGAUAAGCUUGACGCUGAAAAAGAUCAAGGAGAAAUCAAAAUAGCUGUUAUGAUGGAGAUGAGUAUCCUUAUUUGAUGCCUAUUCCUUUCGGCUACGCUGCGAGAAAUGCAAGAGUUCGAAAUGAAUUUGAGGUGUUGCAAAUGCUUAAAAAAAGGAGGGUUUGCUUCAGUUGUCAAGGUACGUAAUGAAUUGGACGGCUGUCUCUAUGCGAUCAAAAGAAUUGCUUUGAUUCCGAAAAGUGUGCUGUUUAAUCGCAAAAUUACUCGAGGAGAGAA